AACUUACUCCCUCCGUUCGGAAUUAUUUGUCUUGGAUAUGGAUGUAUCUAGAACUAAAAUACAUAUAGAUACAUCCAUUUCUGCGACAAGUAAUUCCGAACGGAGGGAGUACUUG
rfam:Triticum aestivum genome assembly, contig: Triticum_aestivum_CS42_TGACv1_scaffold_393892_5AS